UACGGAGGAUCCAAGCGUUAUCCGGAUUUAUUGGGUUUAAAGGGUACGUAGGCGGCUUAUUAAGUCAGGGGUGAAAGACGGUGGCUCAACCAUCGCAGUGCCUUUGAUACUGAUGAGCUUGAAUACACUUGAGGUAGGCGGAAUGUGACAAGUAGCGGUGAAAUGCAUAGAUAUGUCACAGAACACCAAUUGCGAAGGCAGCUUACUAAGGUGCAAUUGACGCUGAGGCACGAAAGCGUGGGGAUCAAACAGG
rnacentral:rRNA from 1 species